AUUGAACGCUGGCGGCAGGCCUAACACAUGCACGUCGAACGAGUGGCGGACGGGUGAGUAAUGUCUGGGAAACUGCCUGAUGGAGGGGGAUAACUACGGGAAACGGUAGCUAAUACCGCAUACCAUCGGAUGUGCCCAGAGGGGAUUAGCUAGGAGGUGGGGUAACGGCUCACCUAGGCGACGAUCCCUAGCUGGUCUGAGAGGAUGACCAGCCAAACUGGAACGGAGACACGGUCCAGACUCCUACGUGAGGCAGGAGUGGGGAAUAUUGCACAAUGGGCGCAAGCCUGAUGCAGCCAUGCCGCGUGUAUGAAGAAGGCCUUCGGGUUGUAAAGUACUUUCAGCGGGGAGGCGUUACCCGCAGAAGAAGCACCGGCUAACUCCGUGCCAGCAGCCGCGGUAAUUC
rnacentral:rRNA from 1 species